UACAGAGGUGGCAAGCGUUGUUCGGAAUUACUGGGCGUAAAGGGCGCGUAGGCGGCCUUCUAAGUCAGACGUGAAAUCCCCCGGCUUAACCUGGGAACUGCGUCUGAUACUGGGAGGCUUGAGUAUGGGAGAGGGAUGUAGAAUUCCAGGUGUAGCGGUGAAAUGCGUAGAUAUCUGGAGGAAUACCGGUGGCGAAGGCGGGUCUCUGGACAGUUCCUGACGCUGAGGCACGAAGGCCAGGGGAGCAAACGGG
rnacentral:rRNA from 1 species